rnacentral:rRNA from 1 species
UACGUAGGGUGCAAGCGUUAAUCGGAAUUACUGGGCGUAAAGCGUGCGUAGGCGGCUUUGCAAGACAGAUGUGAAAUCCCCGGGCUCAACCUGGGAACUGCAUUUGUGACUGCAUCGCUGGAGUGCGGCAGAGGGGGAUGGAAUUCCGCGUGUAGCAGUGAAAUGCGUAGAUAUGCGGAGGAACACCGAUGGCGAAGGCAAUCCCCGUGGGCCUGCACUGACGCUCAUGCACGAAAGCGUGGGGAGCAAACAGG